rnacentral:rRNA from 1 species
UACAGAGGGUGCGAGCGUUGUCCGGAAUCACUGGGCGUAAAGGGCGCGUAGGUGGUGGCUUAAGCGUGCGGUGAAAGCUCGGAGCUCAACUCCGAGUCGGCCGUGCGAACUGGGCUCACUGGAGCAUAGUAGAGGCAGGUGGAAUUCCGGGUGUAGCGGUGGAAUGCGUAGAGAUCCGGAAGAACACCGGUGGCGAAGGCGGCCCGCUGGGGUGGAGCUGACGCUGGAGGCGCGACAGCGUGGGGAGCAAACAGG